rnacentral:rRNA from 1 species
GGUGGAUGCCUUGGCAGUCAGAGGCGAUGAAAGACGUAGUAACUUGCGAUAAGCCCAGAUUAGGUAGUAACAACCAUUUGAGUCUGGGAUUUCUGAAUGGGGAAACCCACUUACAUAAGUAAGUAUCAUUAACUGAAUACAUAGGUUAAUGAGGCGAACCGGGGGAACUGAAACAUCUAAGUACCCCGAGGAAAAGAAAUCAACCGAGAUUCCGAAAGUAGCGGCGAGCGAAAUUGGACUAGCCCUUAAGCUUUACACGCGUUAGACGAACGGUCUG